ensembl:rRNA 5S_rRNA 5S ribosomal RNA
UGCCACAGGCAUGUUAUCCUGUAGCCCAAUACUGGUUACUCACUGAAGCUAAGCAGGGCUGAGCCUGGUCAGUACCUGGAUGGAAGACCAUGUGGGAACCCUGGGUUGCUGUUGGAA